rnacentral:rRNA from 1 species
CUUCGGGGUACACGAGCGGCGAACGGGUGAGUAAACGUGAGAGGGCUGCCCCUGACUCCGGGAUAAGCGGUGGAAACGCCGUCUAAUACCGGAUACGACCGGCCGCCUCAUGGUGGCCGGUGGAAAGUUCUUCGGUUGGGGAUGGGCUCGCGGCCUAUCAGCUUGUUGGUGGGGUAAAGGCCUACCAAGGCGAUUACGGGUAGCCGGCCUGAGAGGGCGACCGGCCACACUGGGACUGAGACACGGCCCAGACUCCUGCGGGAGGCAGCAGUGGGGAAUAUUGCGCAAUGGGCGAAAGCCUGACGCAGCGACGCCGCGUGGGGGAUGACGGCCUUCGGGUUGUAAACCUCUUUUACCACCAACGCAGGCUCCCAGUUCUCUGGGGGUUGACGGUAGGUGGGGAAUAAGGACCGGCUAACUACGUGCCAGCAGCCGCGGUAAUACGUAGGGUCCGAGCGUUGUCCGGAAUUAUUGGGCGUAAAGAGCUCGUAGGCGGCGUGUCGCGUCUGCUGUGAAAGACCGGGGCUUAACUCCGGUUCUGCAGUGGAUACGGGCAUGCUAGAGGUAGGUAGGGGAGACUGGAAUUCCUGGUGUAGCGGUGAAAUGCGCAGAUAUCAGGAGGAACACCGGUGGCGAAGGCGGGUCUCUGGGCCUUACCUGACGCUGAGGAGCGAAAGCAUGGGGAGCGAACAGGAUUAGAUACCCUGGUAGUCCAUGCCGUAAACGUUGGGCGCUAGGUGUGGGGACUUUCCACGGUUUCCGCGCCGUAGCUAACGCAUUAAGCGCCCCGCCUGGGGAGUACGGCCGCAAGGCUAAAACUC